AGAGUUUGAUCCUGGCUCAGAAUCAACGCUGGCGGCGUGCCUCAGACAUGCAAGUCGAACGCGAAAGCCUCCUUCGGGGGGCAAGUAGAGUGGCGCACGGGUGAGUAACACGUAGGUAAUCUACCUUUGGAUUGGGAAUAACCACCGGAAACGGUGGCUAAUACCGAAUAAUGCAGCGGCACCUAAUGGUGACAGUUGUUAAAGCGGGGGAUCGAAAGACCUCGCGUCUGAAGAGGAGCCUGCGGCAGAUUAGCUAGUUGGUAAGGUAACGGCUUACCAAGGCGAUGAUCUGUAGCCGGCCUGAGAGGGCGGUCGGCCACACUGACACUGACAUACGGGUCAGACUCCUACGGGAGGCAGCAGUCGGGAAUUUUGGGCAAUGGGCGAAAGCCUGACCCAGCAACGCCGCGUGAAGAAUGAAAUCCUUCGGGAUGUAAACUUCGCAAGAACGGGAAGAAUAAGUAAGGGUUAAUAUCUCUUACGAUGACGGUACUGUUUGUAAGCUCCGGCUAACUCCUGCCAGCAGCCGCGGUA
rnacentral:rRNA from 1 species